rnacentral:pre_miRNA from 1 species
CUGUGCUUUCAGCUUCUUUACGGUGCUGCCUUGUAUCAUGUAUGUCAAGCAGCAUUGUACAGGGCUAUGAAGGAGCAG